GAUUUUUGCUUGCAUUACAAACGGUCUGUGGACUUUUUCUAGGCUCUAUGUGAUUCUUUGUUUUAACGUUUAUGUAAUUGUUCUCUGCUUACAUUAACACAAUUUUCCCAUUUAUUGUUUAAACAUUUUUACAAAUUACUGAGUUUAAGAGAGACUCUAAUCAGAGUCUGCAACACAUCACACACAGACACAGCAGCACACCUGAAGAUGCACAUUAACAUGUACAUUAGCACACACACCCAUGGGUCUUGGGCAAGAGACAAAGGACAGGACGCUGUCUGUGGAGCCGGUCUGGUAAGACAAAAGGGAGUCGUUCCGAGAGAGGUGCGACCCAUAGGGACGUAGAGACGGUCAACAGUCCAGUGGGUGAAUAUAUGUAAAUAGUUAGCACAGAGGGAGACGUUUAAAUGAGUGGGAAAUAAUGUGAUUUGAGCCUAAUCUGUAGACCUUGUUGUAAAUAAUUUGUUAUUUUCUCUUAAACUUAGGCUGCAAGUUGUUGAGUGUGGAUAUGAGAUGUACAGUGACGGAAGCAAAUUUUUAGAUCAUAGGGCAGUACAGAAACUUUGUUACAAACCAUCAUCCUGUAAUGAUUUUAUCAACAAACCAUACACACAUGUAACUACAUAUGAUAUAUUGAUAUCAUUUUCAUUAGGAAUAAAUGAAUGUUCUAGGUCACUAACAAACCAUGAGUUGAGUUUUGAGUUCACAGGGAAUCCUGAUCUUCCAACACCUCGGAUCCCCCGAUCAGUCUGGUCACAGGACCUGCGAGAUUCUCAGGAUCAAGAAGAGAGUGGAUCUCAAUCACACGUCAAUGACGACCACUACGCGUCGCCUGACCAAGCCUUUGAUAACAAGAGGAAGUAUACACUCAACCAUAAUCCCACAAACACUCUAGUUUUUGCACAAGUUAUUACCACACAACUUUCAGAUUAAGAAAAGGGACAGAAACCCCUCAUUUAAAUCCAUGCUAAAAAUGAUUGAGAUAUACAAGCAAAUACACACGGUUGAUAUUAUUGUGAGAACAAGAGAUCAAGGUUCAUGAUUCAUAAUGUCCAAACAUUUCCCUGAUAUAGAACUAUACAGUGAAUAGACAUAUUCACAUUGAACAUCUGGUCGGACGGUGAAAGAGAUUCACCUUUCCGUUGAGUUGUACUUAUUAAGAUAACAGUAUUGUCCCGAUUAAACAAAACAUAACUAUAGACACAGUGGACAACAGACAGGAAUGCAUCACCAAUAAUUGAUAAACGACAUUAACCUAAAAUCCACAUCAGUAGAAUGGAAGCUAUGGGAAUACCUGGGGGGUGUCAAAUGAGUUUCAAGUCACACACAGGAUCUAGAAGACGCACCUCUACCCCUGCUGGAGCAGAGAGGGAUGACACAGAAGAGGAGAGACCACCUGUCAACAACCUGAGUGGCGCCAAAGGAACCGUGAGCAGUGACCAACAACCGUCAUCUCGCUGAGAGGAAGGACUUCCUCAGCCCAAAGUCUGCUUGACCACCGUGCAGGACCAGGAGGAAGCAGCAGAACCAGCACCACAGAGCCGGACCAGAAGCAAGACAAGCAUCGUUCUAGGAGAACCAGAAGCAAGACUAGGACCGAUUCAGAAAGGGUCCCAGCGAAUCUCCCGGUCUCCCUUUUGAGGGACAGCACAGUUCCAAGACCACCUCACACUAAUGGGGGACAACGACAGCCCAGCACAACUUCAGACCCACGGGUCACAUCAGAGCCAUCGAUUUCCGGUACAGACACUCCCAAGUUCCCAAGCCCCUCUACAAACACUGCCCCAUGGACAACAACAACCAUUGAGCAUGAGAGAUCCUGAAAUGGUCGAGAAGACACCCUCACACACAACUGGAGGUGAACCACUGCUGAAAGCUCUCACUGAAGAACCAGCAGAGAACAGUGACAUGGACAACCGCUUCUCAGGUUUAUUGGACUCAUGAUUUAGUAAAUACAAACAAUUGUUUAUUUUUGUGAUAACAGUCUCCAUUAUGGCCAGCAUUCUAUUCCUAGGUGGAUGCUGUUGCAUCCUCUGCAUUAGGACUCUUAUUAUUAGAGUCAUAACCACCGCACCCAUUCAAGAAGACCAGCCCCAUGAUGCUAUUAGGUUUUAUUAAAUGAAUGUGUCCUGUGUCAAUUUACACUGUACACAUGACAUCCGUGAUGAAAUGUUAAAUCCUGGGAGAAGAUCUUUCAAUCUCUCCGACAGAUUUCUUCCUCGUUUUAUUCCCAAAAAGGGUUUUCGAGGGAGUUUUUGUUCUGUGCCAGGUACAAGUUAACAAGUGGUGUCCAGAUGCACAUCUUAUGAUUAGAAUGUGUAGGAUCAAGCGUGUUAUAUUGGAUCGAACGUUAUACUAAACAAAUAGAGACGACACAUCUGACAAAACUGAGGAAUUUGAUGAACCGAUCCCUCUGAUUGGUUUUUACACCAAAAUUGGUGUAAAGGGAUGGAUUGUAGGAUAUUAGAAACAAAUAUACGACCCGGUUCAUAAAAUUAAUAAAAAUGCAUAUAGUGUACACCAGAAUACAGCCAUGAUUCUGAAACUGUAAUCAAUAAAGUAAUGACAAUAUUGUAAAACCACUGUAAUUCUGCAACUGUAAUAGAAUAAUACCAAUGUACAGUUAUGAUUGUAUUUGAUGUAAUGUAAUCAACUGGAAUGCACGCAUGUAAUACUUGAACAACAACUGAUAUUGACUAAGGAUCAUCCGAAAUCCGAGUUACAUUGAACUCACCAGAAGACCACUCCCAGAGGUGUGGACACUGACUUUCACACCUUUAAGCAUUGGUAUAAAUACCUGUAGGAACCAUUGUUCUCGAGUUCGCUGGUGGAGGCUACAGACGGGCACUAGGGAUGGUCAAAAGGACUGACCUGGGGCCUGUUGGUUGCUGAGACCAGCGGCUCCUCAGCUGAGAUGUUCUUUUUACCACAACGCCA
ensembl:lncRNA